UAAUUAUUGCUAUCAUUUUCUUGCUACAGGAAAAAUGUUUAAAUCGGUCGAUCUGCCAUGGCUAAUCACGUUCUUUCAAAUGUUCUUCAAUGAUAAACCUGUGGAUUGGUUGCUAUCCAAUUUGAUAUAUACAAAAGUAUGUAGUAUUGAAAAAGACGGGAAAAGUUGCAAGCAAGACAUGUCGAAGCUAUGGAUUCACUAUAAGCCAUCGCUGUUUCAGCAUAUUGGAACAACAUCAUCCUUGAAAGGAAAAGUUCAAAAAUUAAAAGAUAGACAGUUUGGAAAAAUACCCGCCUUCUAUCCUCACAACAAUCCACCUGCUGUUGUAAAAACUGGAAUUCAGCAUUACAAAACAUAUACGAUCCAGAAAGCCUAUACCGGAGAAAGCUUUUUUUGGGGUUUAAUGCCACAACCAGGUGAUUUGAUUGAAUUCAAAUUCAAGGACUCAAUAGCUCUAAAAAGGUACUAGGCCAAUGU